GCAAGUCGAACGAGAACGGGAUUGCUUGCAAUCCUUAGUAGAGUGGCGCACGGGUGAGUAACACGUAGAUAAUCUACCUUCAAGCCUGGAAUAACUAUUCGAAAGGAUAGCUAAUACCGGAUAAAGUUAAAAUGCCUAAGUAUUUUAAUGAAAGAUUGCCUCUUCUUGAAAGCAAUUGUUUGGAGAUGAGUCUGCGGACCAUUAGCUUGUUGGUGGGGUAAAAGCCUACCAAGGCUGCGAUGGUUAGCUGGUCUGAGAGGAUGAUC
rnacentral:rRNA from 1 species